rnacentral:rRNA from 1 species
AUUGAACGCUGGCGGCAGGCCUAACACAUGCAAGUCGAACGAGUGGCGGACGGGUGAGUAAUGUCUGGGAAACUGCCUGAUGGAGGGGGAUAACUACUGGAAACGGUAGCUAAUACAGCAUACCAUCAGAUGUGCCCAGAUGGGAUUAGCGAGUUGGUGGGGUAACGGCUCCCCAAGGCGAAGAUCCCUAGCUGGUCUGAGAGGAUGACCAGCCACCCUGGAACGGAGACACUGUCCAGACGCCUACGGGAGGCAGCAGUGGGGAAUAUUGCACAAUGGGCGCGAGCCUUAUGCAGCCGUGCCGCGUGUAUGAAGAAGGCCUUCGGGUUGGAAAGUACUUUCAGCGGGGAGGCGUUACCCGCAGAAGAAGCACCGGCUAACUCCGUGCCAGCAGCCGCGGUAAUUC